UGGGAAAUAGGAGCUUCAUUAGAUUUUGAAUUAGCUGAGACAGCAGGUAUUGGAAAAGAUGUUGAUCUAAUGGUCAACACACAAGGACUAGUGCCAGUGUAUCGCACAGUGCAAAGUGCAUUUCCAGCAUAAAUUGGUCUGAUAAAUAGACUAGAACCAGAAAGAGCAAUGACAUCAGUAAUUGGAGAAACAUCUAAAAG
rnacentral:misc_RNA from 1 species